GAUGAACGCUGGCGGCGUGCCUAAUACAUGCAAGUCGAGCGAACCACUUCGGUGGUGAGCGGCGAACGGGUGAGUAACACGUAGGUGAUCUGCCCAUCAGACGGGGACAACGAUUGGAAACGAUCGCUAAUACCGGAUAGGACGAAAGUUUAAAGGUGCUUCUGACACCGCUGCUGGAUGAGCCUGCGGCGCAUUAGCUAGUUGGUCGGAUAAAGGCCUACCAAGGCGACGAUGCGUAGCCGACCUGAGAGGGUGAACGGCCACACUGGGACUGCGACACGGCCCAGGCUCCUACGGGAGGCAGAAGUAGGGAAUCUUCGGCAAUGGGCGGAAGCCUGACAGAGCAACGCCGCGUGAAUGAUGAAGGCCUUCGGGUAGUAAAAUUCUGUUAUAAGGGAAGAACGACUUUAGUAGGAAAUGGCUAGAGUGUGACGGUACCUUAUGAGAAAGCCACGGCUAACUACGUGCCAGCCGCCGCCGUAA
rnacentral:rRNA from 1 species